AGAUGUUAAAGGAAAGGUCUGUUAGGCAAUUUUGUUGUCAAACGACCUCCCCAGGCGAUGAUGUAACCUCGAUUGUUUAUUAUCAAUCGGUCUCGGCCUAAUGAUUGAUUAGUACAUCGACACAAUUAUCGAGACAACACAAUCCACAUUAUUAUGGAUCGUUCGAAGCAACCUAUUUUAUAGUGUUGCUCACGGUUCCCGCAUCAUUCCUUGGAAGGCUAUAUUAUUAUUGUUGAAGCCCACUUAAUUGAGUCGAGCCUCGUUUGUUGGUCCAACACUUAAUCCUAAUUGUAACUUACCUAUUUGGACACUAUACUUGGCAUAUAAUCCCUCUCUUGUCUCGGCCUCCAUAGAGUGAAAUUUUCUUCUCUUUGUGAGUCUCUCUCUCUCGGCCUCUCCCUUCCCCUUCACUGUGACCUUAGUGGUUAACCUAUUGUGAGCAUAUUAUUGUGUUUCUUCUUCCCCAAUUGAUAGCAACCGGAGUGGGGGCGGCAAGGGUGAUGUUGGAGUUGUCUCGAGGUGUUGGUGUCGAUGUUGUGGUAAACUGAGCCCGGUUUUGCACGCGGUGGCGGUGGAUUUCAUCCCUACAUCUAGUAUCAGAGCGAGUAGCAGCUUUUCCGGCCUGAAAAUCAGCAAAAACCGACGGCAGUCGCGAGUUUGGGUGGAAAAACCGUGGCUGCAACCUCUAUUUCCGGCCAAUCCAGCUACUUUCUGGCGAAACCGAUCCCAUAUUCGGGAUCAACAGGCUGAGGCGCUCCCUCGUAGGUGGCGCGCGACGG
rnacentral:lncRNA from 1 species